CGCAAACCUGUAAGUAGUUCGAAGUAGUUCGCGGGAUCAAGAAGUUGUCCGGAGGCUGUGAAUGCUAACUUCUUUGGUUUGGGUUAAACUCUCAGGAUUUGUGAACAGUAAGAAUACUUUUACGGAAAAGUUGCCUAGGGGAAUAGGCGUCACUCCCACCUACUGUAGCCCGUGUGACACUUCUUAAGCAGUCAUUUAAUGACGUUGUCAGCCCACUCCCCAAUCCCCACCCUCGGCGAGCAGCGACCUGCUGGAGGGCAGCAACUGGGGUUUAGCCGGGAGGUCCCGGUGCCUAGAACAGCGUCUCCGAUAAAAUACUGAAUAUAGGAGAAAAUGGGAAAUCUGCAGCGUUGAAAUACCAGAGCAUUUCAGCGCCUACUAUGUCCCAGGCACUGGGCCACACUCUACAAAGAUUCAGUUAAGCCUCACCCAGUGUAAGAGGUGAUGUCGUCUCUCUAGUGCUUCGAUCAGCCUGGGAAGAGUCUGCUCAUCAUUGACAUCCAGAAGUUCGCAGGACGGCAAAGGUGGGAAACUCUGUAAAACCACUUCUGAAACCAGCGGUUCUGUAUGGAGUUGUUUAAAAAAAAAAGUUACACAGGCGAGAAAGAGUUAUUCAAACAAGUUUAACACUGGUAAGAGCCCCCAGUCCAAAUUAACAGUGUAUUUUGUUGGGCUCAUCAUAUUUCCUUAAAAAUGAGUUAUAUGAGUUGUAAAGAAGAAAAAAUGAAAAAAAAUGUGAGAGUAUAUAAUAAAAGAAGUGUGAAUUUA